CGGACCGCAGCCCGCACGUGCCAGCUGCUGGGAGCGUUGGCCUCGGACGGAGUGAUGGUCGCCCGCUUCCCAAGCACAGCUGUCUCAAGAGAGUGACAGUGUCCUGUAGGAAGGUCGUGCCCCACCCCGGGAGGGAGGACGCAAUGACUGUCUGACCCAGAGACACAGGGGCUGGGCUCCGCCUCACUGGGAGCAAAACUCCAUGGGACCGUCGUGGCCCAGAGCACCCGGUCGGGCCCGGCGGAGACCAGUCUGCAGGAGAACUUCUCCUCAAGUAGCCUUCCUCUCCGCUCCCUGGGUGUGGACCAGCCCCAGCUCUGCAAGGAUGUGUGGCAUCCUAGAGCCGGUGCUGUGUCCCUGCUGACCACGUGCGCCAUGCCCUCACCAGCUGCUGCGCCGCUCUCGCUGGCGGAGGAGGCUGACUGCAUGUUCCACCUUCGAAGAUGACUUCCCCUGGUUCCCAAGUCAGUGUUUGCAGUGUGAGAAUCGGGCCUCCUGCUGCGUGUGUAUGAGCAGACAACAUUGUCCCAGACCCAAGUCAACUAAACAAGUGACCUGUUUGCUUUGAUUGGAGGUGUUGCUGCGGAGCUAGAAUGCACCCUCACAGAUCUUUUUUGUGGGAUUACACCUGUGUGAAUUCACAACAAUUCUCUGUUCCAGUGACUUUGAGGAUUCAAGGACAAGACCCUUUAAAGAAAACUACAGCUGGGUUUGAUGCAAGUUGAGAAACCUAUAAUGUGUAUUAUUGAUUCUUUUCUCAUCUCUGCAAAGGCAAAGAUACUAAAAAUAGUGAAGCCACUUAUCACAGCCUCCUCCAAGGCCCUGUGCUGAAUUUCACAUUUGUACUUUCCUAUUCUCAAAGAGGACUUCCCCACUGCAUAAUAUGCAGGCAUUCUAAAACCUGGAUUCAUUCUUGAACCUGUGAAAAUCAGGCCACACCAGCCUGGGAAUAAAGUCAGAGACAAAAGAAUAUUUUUCUAAUUCUAUAGCAUCAUGUCAUGU